rnacentral:rRNA from 1 species
CCUGGCUCAGAACGAACGCUGGCGGCGCGUUUUAAGCAUGCAAGUCGAACGGUAUUAUUGGUGCUUGCACCGAUAAGAGAGUGGCGAACGGGUGAGUAACACGUAAGUGAUCUGCCUUUUAGUUGGGGAUAGCCCAUGGAAACAUGGGGUAAUACCGAAUACGUCUGGAAACAGGGAAAGACCCGUAUGGGUCGCUAAAAGAUGAGCUUGCGGUCCAUUAGCUAGUUGGUAGGGUAAAGGCCUACCAAGGCGACGAUGGAUAGCCGGCCUGAGAGGGUGACCGGCCACACUGGGACUGAGACACGGCCCAGACUCCUACGGGAGGCAGCAGCUAAGAAUCUUCCGCAAUGGGCGCAAGCCUGACGGAGCGACGCCGCGUGGAUGAAGAAGGCCGUGAGGUUGUAAAAUCCUUUUGUUAGAGAAGAAUAAAGUUGCAAGGAAAUGUGCAACAGAUGACAUUACCUAACGAAUAAGCCCCGGCCAAUUACGUGCCAGCGGCCGCGGUAACACGUAAGGGGCAAGCGUUGUUCGGAAUCAUUGGGCGUAAAGGGCGCGCAGGCGGCGUAUUAAGCCUGGUGUGAAAGACCGCAGCUUAACUGCGGGGACGCGCUGGGAACUGGUAUGCUUGAGUUCAAGAGGGGGAGUUGGAAUUCCUGGUGUAGGGGUGAAAUCUGUUGAUAUCAGGAAGAACACCGGUGGCGAAGGCGAACUCCUGGCUAUGAACUGACGCUGAGGCGCGAAAGCGUAGGGAGCGAACAGGAUUAGAUACCCUGGUAGUCUACGCUGUAAACGAUGUGCACUAGGUGUUGGUCGUUACAGAUCAGUGCCGUAGCAAACGCGCUAAGUGCACCGNCUGGGGAGUAUGCUCGCAAGGGUGAAACUCAAAGGAAUUGACGGAGGCCCGUACAAGCGGUGGAGCAUGUGGUUUACUUCGACGCAACGCGAAGAACCUUACCAGGGCUUGACAUCCCGUGACGUUUAUAGACAUUUCAAUUUGCUUCGGGAAACGGAGACCGGUGGUGCAUGGUU